rnacentral:rRNA from 1 species
AUUGAACGCUGGCGGCAGGCCUAACACAUGCAAGUCGAGCGGAUGAAGGGAGCUUGCUCCUGGAUUCAGCGGCGGACGGGUGAGUAAUGCCUAGGAAUCUGCCUGGUAGUGGGGGAUAACGUCCGGAAACGGGCGCUAAUACCGCAUACGUCCUGAGGGAGAAAGAGGGGGAUCUUCGGACCUCACGCUAUCAGAUGAGCCUAGGCCGGAUUAGCUAGUUGGUGGGGUAAAGGCCUACCAAGGCGACGAUCCGUAACUGGUCUGAGAGGAUGAUCAGUUACCCGGGAAAUACGACACGAUCCAGACUCCUACGGGGGGCAGCAGUGGGGAAUAUUGGACAAUGGGCGAAAGCCUGACACAGCCAUGCCGCGUGUGUGAAGAAGGUCUUCGGACUGUAAAGCACUUUAAGUUGGGAGGAAGGGCAGUAAGUUAAUACCUUGCUGUUUUGACGUUACCAACAGAAUAAGCACCGGCUAACUUCGUG